CUCAUCUAAGCACAUUGACAUUGUCAACCAGUGCGGAUUCCACCCAUAAAAGUCCUAGGAUCAGGACAGCUCCCCGUAAAUUGUGCCUGGGAGAAGUCAAAACCAGGAUUCUGCACAAAGUAUUACUCUAGUUAGAACUGUUGAACAGCAGAACAAUUCUCUUGGCAAUAUCUGAAUACUGUGUAUAAUAUUUGAUUAAGCAGAUACAUAAACAAAGAUUUCUACCGUAAAUUACAUGGCUUCUAUAUAUUCAAUGGUACACAGAUGGUAAAUUCAUUACUUAUAGUAGUAAGUUCAAAACAAAAUUAUUACUAAAGAAAAAAUUAGUAGCAUGCAAAACGGAUGAUACCGUAGUUGAUAAGCACAUAGUGAAUCUAAAACAGCAAUUCAUUCAGUAUGAGAAAAUAACAUCCCCGUCAUGUAUCCUUGAACCCAAAAGUUUACACAGGAAGUCACAUAAUACACAUGGCAUCACAGUACUAUCAAUGGCAUGUGUAUAUUGAAGAUAAACAGAAUCUAUACUUGGUAAACAAACUUCUUCAUAAUUGAUACUUGGACAUAUCAAAAUCUAAGGCCAUGAGAAAACAAUUAAUAUGUUUUAGACAUCAAACUGAUAUUGUCAUCUACAGUAUCAACUACUCUAAACUUUGAAUAUGUAAUCACAUCCAAACACUCAAUUUAAGUAAGACUAUCCAUAGUUACUAAGACUAUCCAUUGUUACCUUUGAAAGUUCUUUAUCCUAAUUUCUCCAAAGAUACUGACAAGCUAUAGUAAUAAUUAAAAAAAAAAAAGCCAUCUACUUCAAAUAAGCAGGCAGCAAGCAACUUUGGUUAGAUGAUGGAUCAUCUUCCAAACACUUCACUUAAUUUACUUGCUUAGUAGUAUAACUUGUGCUAAAACUAUUAGUCCUUGUAGACGCUUUACAAAAUGCAGGUCCCAAGUAUUUACCAAUCACACUCAUGACAUGUUUGAUGUUCAAAAUCAUGCACAUAUCACACAUACACUGAAAUUGUUCUUGGGAGCAAUACAUGGUUCACAUCAGCUUAAUCCAGUAGCAGUAAAAUUGCCCAAGAAAGAAUGGAAAAGACAGAAGUCUGAGUUUCACCCUUUUGAAUAACUUCAAAUAAUUUUCUAAUUCCAGAAUACAAAAAACCAUAUCUCAUGACAUUUUAAAUUCAUCUAAUAAGUCAUAAUAGUAUUUCAUAAACACAAACAGACAAAAUCUGCUAUACACUAACUCCUGUGCGGGCUGCACUAAACUGCGGUACUGUUACACUACUAAAGUUGAACCAACACUAUCCUAAAAUUGCUUCCAAUAAAAAUUUUUACUCCCAAGAGAACACUUUGUUGGAAUAAAAUUGGUCGAAAAUGAACAAGGUGACAAAAAAAAAAUGAGUCCAAAAUAAUGCUUGAAAUAACAAAAACAAUGAUUACCAUAAGCCCCAUAAGCUAAGUUAAAUGCAUUAAUCAUCAAGGACGAGUUGAAUGAGCACCAGAGAAUUGAAGUAAUAAUGUCUAAUCUUCUACAUAGUAUUAUACUGAAGGAAGUAAUAGUUAUUCACCUCUUCCUGAAAUCUCUGAAGCAUGAGACGCUUCUGUUCAAUGUCAGAGGAGUAAGGAUCCAACUGACCCUGACCCAAUAUUGGAGAAGACCAUGUCUUACCCUUGUCCCUUUUUUGCAGCGUUACGUGCAUUGUAUCAUCCUCUAAAGUCCAAAAGGAAGAAUCAGUCUUCACUGGGCAGGAGAGUUCAUGAUUGAGAUAUGGGGGAUUGCCUUUGAUGCCAAGUUCAAGAUGUUUUGAUUGAAUCUUGCAAUAGAAUUGCUUUGGGUGAACGUUUGGAGGCAAAUUGAUGUAAAUAUUGACCUCUUCUAGGGUUUGAUCCCAUUCAAAUACAGUUUGGCCGUUGUGGAUGAAACAGUGACGCUUCUCUGGAGCCAAUUUCUCUGCCAUCUCAAGUUCUAGGGUUUG
rnacentral:misc_RNA from 1 species